rnacentral:rRNA from 1 species
GGUAAAUCUCGUGCCAGCCACCGCGGUCAUACGAUUAACCCAAACUAAUAAACACCCGGCGUAAAGCGUGAUUAGAACAUUAAACAAAAAUAGAAUCAAAUAACAACUAAGCUGUAAAAAGUAAUAGUUGCAAAUAAAAAUAAACAACGAAAGUGAUUUUACAACCUUUGAACUCACGAUAGCUAAGACCCAAACUGGGAUUAGAUACCCCACUAUGCUUAGCCUUAAACCUAAAUAAUUUCUUAACAAAAUUAUUCGCCAGAGAACUACAAGCCAGAGCUUAAAACUCAAAGGACUUGGCGGUGCUUUAUACCCGCCUAGAGGAGCCUGUUCUAUAAUCGAUAAACCCCGAUAAACCUUACCACUCUUUGCCAACUCAGCCUAUAUACCGCCAUCUUCAGCAAACCCUAAAAAGGAAUAUAAGUAAGCUUAAUCAUCACCAUAAAAACGUUAGGUCAAGGUGUAGCCUAUAGAGUGGAAAGUAAUGGGCUACAUUUUCUACUUUAGAACACACGGAAGCCCCCUAUGAAACUCUAGGGGCCAAAGGAGGAUUUAGCAGUAAAUUAAGAAUAGAGUGCUUAAUUGAACGAGGCCAUGAAGCACGCACACACCGCCCGUCGCCCUCCUCAAGUACUGAAUAUAAAUUAUAAAUAAUUCCUAAAUAAGCAGGUAUAAGAGGAGAUAAGUCGUAACAAGGUAAGCAUACUGGA